GGUUGUUGGGGAGCGUCCUGCGCAGUCCCACACUGCGACACUCACGCGCACUUUACCUCACAUCUCAGCUCGCCAGGCCACUUCGGAUCUGCGCUCUUGGCCGCUUCCAAGGCCUCCAGUCUCCUUUACCCGGGGAAACUAAGGACCGCGGAGGUUAGGGUGCAGGGUCCUCUGACUGUUGACCCGCGCGUUCCAAUCUGCAUCCUUUCAAGUUGAUGCGCCCAGGACCCAAGGACGCAGCACUGGGACUCCAGUGUGGCGCCUUGCAGUGACACCCCAUCCCCAGUGCUUGCUUGGGCCUUGGCUGCCAGGCCCUCUUGACACCACGAAGGAUGACGAAGCUGGUCUGCGGCAGCCAAGGCCUCUCCCCUCCUACUCUUCGAACUCGCUGGUGGGCAUCACGGCCCAGGAAGCAGGAGUCGAGAACUGACACCUUGGUGCAGAGGGGCCACGAGAGGCAUCUCCAUCCUGCCAGGAAGCAGCUGGACCACAGCGCUCCCAUGGAGCAUUCUCACUGACAUCGGUAUGGAAAGACCAAAUCAGGAGGACAUCGCAGGCACUAACCAUCUCAUCACGAUCGCCUGCACGAGUCUCAUCCAGGCUAUGGUGGUGGUGUCCGAAGGUGCCACAUAGCGUGGAGAGCAAGGUCGCUGCCACACAACAUGCCUUCAGACCUUGCUGCCACUGGUUCACCAUCAAGGAACAUCUUUUUACUUUGGUGAGUAUUCAGAGGGAAGGGCCUUGACUCUGGAGACUUGGGGACCAAAGUUAGAGACCCUUCAAACAGGUUCUGGCACUCCCCUUAGAGCCACAGAAUGCCAUGUGGCCCUAAGGACCUUGUUCUCACAGGUGAGCACCAGGGAUAAUCAGGAAUAUUAAACGCGCAGUGUUGUCUCUUCAAAGGGAGAGACGUAUAACUGUUUUCCACCCAGAAGGCUGGGAGUGGAGAUGUUUAAUAUUCCGCUGACCUUUGUGCUAUCUGUAUGACCAAGACCGUGCCAGAGCCUCCCCCAGACCCUUAAGAUGUCGAAUGCAGUCAACUAACCGGGUGGUGGUGGUGCAUGCCUUUACUUCCAGGACUUGUAUGGCAAAGGCAGAUGGAUCUCUGAGUUCGAGGCCAGCCUGGUCUACAGAGUGAGUCCAGGACAGCCAGGACUACACAGAGAAACUUUCUGUCUCGAAAAAACCAGAAACAAAUAAAUAAAAAAUUUUAAAAAGAUGUCGUGUGUAGUCAUUCUAUAGAACCCAUCUUUCUGGGGAUGUCAACAUGUACCUUACAAAGAGUUUUGAUGUAUUGUGUGAUGUGCUUAAAUAUACCUAAAGUAAAAUACCUGGUGUCAGACUCUUGAAGUUUGAACCAACACUUUGCCGGGCGGUGGUGGCGCACGCCUUUAAUCCCAGCACUUGGGAGGCAGAGGCAGGUGGAUCUUUGAGUUAGAGGCUAGCCUGGUCUACAGAGUGAGUCCAGGACAGCCAGGAUUACACAGAGAAACCCUGUCUCGAAAAUACAAUAAAGUCAAAUAAAAUCAAAUAAAAGUUUGAACCAACACUGGCUAUUGAGUCAUGUUGAACUAGACUGCCCUUUUGCCUCAUUUGGAUCAUUACUCUGCUGCCUGUGGUGUCUGCAGAGACCCCCCACAACUGGCGACCCACAGAAGGGACUCAACUCUGCGAGAAGGUAAGAUUUUUCUUUUAAUAGAAUAAGAGUAGGAGUUCGGUGCAUUCACCCAAGAGGUCAUAACGGUAAGUGAGAAAGUAAAAUAGGCAUGGCUUCUUUUCAAUCCUCUUGAGACAAAGCAUUUUAUACAAUUACUGAGAUGUUUGUUAAGAUCCAAAGGAACAAAAUAUUCAGAACAACAGCUUCGCAGCUUGGUACAAGUGUCUGCAAAAUUCAGUCCUUGGCUUCCUGAACAAGAAACUAUUGAUGUUGAACAUUGGAAAUUCAGCCCGAAGGUGUGGUCUACAGAGAAAGUUCCAGGAUAGUCAGUGCUACACAGAGAAAAACCCGGUUGAGAAAAACCAAAAAGAAAAUUGGAAAUGCAUAGGAGCUAAGGUAAAAAGGGCCCAUAAAAGAGGAGAUAAAAUUCCUGUCAAUUAUUUUGCAAGCUGGAGUACACCAAUAUAUUGCCCGGAUUCUCAGGAGGAUCAUUGAAAAAAGAAUUUCUGUUUUCUCUGCAGGCCAAGUGGACUCCGCUGCUACUCUGGUUUCCUGGAGGUCACCCAGACAGGCUUGGUCAGGGCAUGCUCAGUCUGAUGGAACUCAGAGCAUCCAUCUAAUGAUGUACUCACAGCCUUAGCAAAAUAAGGAAUUUUAUCUUGUCUUUACAUAAAAAAAGGAGACUUUCUCACUUCAGGCCUUUCAGGCACUGAGAGACCAAACACCACCUAGAUUCCUCUGGAUUUAUGAUUGCUAAAAUAUCAUUUUUUAAAUUUGAAUUUUGGUACAGCAUAACAAAAAAAUUAAAAAUAGCAAUGUGAACAAGCUUAACAUGGAUUUAAGGGAAAAAAUAGGGGCAAAUUGGAAUCAAAAAAUGUUUUAGAAUAUUUCUUCUGGAUAACAUGGUGGCCAAGGACUGAAAACAUAAUUGCAUGUUUCUCACAUUUCCUUGGAGGGCAGAAGGAGUUAAACUAGAAAUGCAAUCAGUGUGAGUUAGAUUUUAAAGUUUUCACCUAAAAUUAUUUUUGGUCCAGACUGAGAAUCUGUGAAAUGUAGUGAGAACUAGAGCCUUCUGGAGAGUUCUUCCUCCAUGGAACCCAUAUGCUUGGGUGAUGUUCACAUUUUUGUUUUGUUUACAGUAUCAGCUGGGUAUGUACUUUCAUGCUCACAUAGGAAAACCCAAUUGUUUUCUCCUUCAGGAUUUUCUGUGAUUGUUUCUCAGGUACUUCUGAAUAUCCUGUUACCUAAUAGGAAAGUCUUCUCGAACUCAAAACUAAAAUUGCCCUGAAUUUUAAAGAUCCCAAAUCUUACAUAAAUAGCCUUAGGUUUAAACCUUUGAAAGUUAAUGCCCUUUGUGAAUUAAGUAGGUUCUACUUAUGUUUUAGGUUUGUGCUUGCCCUUGGUCUGACAUAAAUGAUCAGGCCCUUAACCAGGGAGGAAGUUAGAGGAGGCUCGUGAGAGCCUGCCCUCUAUUGAAGGCUUAUUCUACACAGUAUUCUAGUGCAUAGUUAGUAGUGAGUGGUUCUCACAUCAGCAUGACAUCUAGAACUAGGCUGUCUGUGUCUAGGGCCUUCUCUACUGUCUUGUGUGUAGGGACCUGUGCUCAGUGUGCACCAAAGGCAUACACAGUGCCUCUCCCUACCCGGUCAGCUGCAGAGCACAACCCCAGGCAUGACAUGGGGUCCUGGGGGCUCCAGGAAAACACCAUUGGAUCAUAUCUAGAACUUUAUUUAUCAAAUAGCUCUUUAAACAUUUCCUUCCUAGGACUCCCAUUACAACUAAAAACAUAAUGGACCUGUUUAUACUAGGAAAAACUUUAAAAUUUUUCACAAUUUAUGGAGUAUUAAUCGUGUUACUGAAAUCCCUUACAAUCAACAGGGUCAAACUAUUAUAAAACAACACCAUCCCCAGCACCCACGGCUGUCUCUCCAGAUAGAUAGAUAGAUAGAUAGAUAGAUAGAUAAAUAGAUAGAUAGAUAGAUAGAUAGAUAAAUAGAUAGAUAGAUAGAUAGAUAAAUAGAUAGAUAGAUAAAUAAAUAAAUAAAUAAACUAAACACCAAAUACUGAUACACAACUUUAAAUCUCCACAUACUAUGCUACAUUUAGCUAUACUAACUUUAUUUUUUUUUCCACUUUAAAGAAUUUAAAGCAUUUUGCCCUAAAGGAGAUACAACCUAAAGUAUGGGUUUUAAAAAAAAAAUCUAAAAACUAAUCAAUGGAAAGGGCCCGGUGUUCUAACACCGAGGCGAGGUUAUGCUUAUAUCUUACAGAAAAUAAAUGAAGUCCCAGAUGGCUGCUGCCCUGACACAUCCAACGAGGACGACAUCCCGGAGACCAGCAGACAAGCCAAGUGUCCAGAGACAGGCGACAGAGCCAUCAAAAGGAGAUGUCCCAAGAGGAAGAGUGAGCCGAUAACUUGGGGAGACAUCAAGACUUUAACUUGUCAAGCCAAGACUUUGGGGAAACAACAAGGACAUAAUACUACUGACCCCCCAAAACAAUUAUGUUUACUGGCUAUAUUACAUGUUAAUUCUCAGCUUUGUCAGUGCAGAAUCCAAAUUCCUUUUGUCGGGGGGACAAAAGGCACAUCUGUGAUAAGAGAGAGUAUGAUGUUUUACCAUGCUAAAAACUGUUUUUAUCCUUUGGGACCAGUUGUCUGGACAAAAGAGGGUAUACAAAUAUCUAGUCACAUUCAUGAUGGGGGAUAUUUUGGUUUUUAAUACAAAUGUAAUAAUAUAGAUUUUAGCAUGAUCAAGUACUCUUUAGAAAGCUCUGAUAGUGGAAAUUAUAACUGUAUAAAUGAGCUAGAUGAAAAAGAAUAUCUGAUGUAUUGCUUACUAAAGUUGAACCAACACCA